CAUGCAAGUCGAGGGGAAACGACAUCGAAAGCUUGCUUUUGAUGGGCGUCGACCGGCGCACGGGUGAGUAACGCGUAUCCAACCUGCCCACCACUUGGGGAUAACCUUGCGAAAGUAAGACUAAUACCCAAUGACGUCUCUAGAAGACAUCCGAAAGAGAUUAAAGAUUUAUCGGUGAUGGAUGGGGAUGCGUCUGAUUAGCUUGUUGGCGGGGUAACGGCCCACCAAGGCGACGAUCAGUAGGGGUUCUGAGAGGAAGGUCCCCCACAUUGGAACUGAGACACGGUCCAAACUCCUACGGGAGGCAGCAGUGAGGAAUAUUGGUCAAUGGACGAGAGUCUGAACCAGCCAAGUAGCGUGCAGGAAGACGGCCCUAUGGGUUGUAAACUGCUUUUAUAAGGGAAUAAAGUGAGAGUCGUGACUCUUUUUGCAUGUACCUUAUGAAUAAGGACCGGCUAAUUCCGUGCCAGCAGCCGCGGUAAUACGGAAGGUCCGGGCGUUAUCCGGAUUUAUUGGGUUUAAAGGGAGCGUAGGCCGGAGAUUAAGCGUGUUGUGAAAUGUAGAUGCUCAACAUCUGAACUGCAGCGCGAACUGGUUUCCUUGAGUACGCACAAAGUGGGCGGAAUUCGUGGUGUAGCGGUGAAAUGCUUAGAUAUCACGAAGAACUCCGAUUGCGAAGGCAGCUCACUGGAGCGCAACUGACGCUGAAGCUCGAAAGUGCGGGUAUCGAACAGGAUUAGAUACCCUGGUAGUCCGCACGGUAAACGAUGGAUGCCCGCUGUUGGUCUGAAUAGGUCAGCGGCCAAGCGAAAGCAUUAAGCAUCCCACCUGGGGAGUACGCCGGCAACGGUGAAACUCAAAGGAAUUGACGGGG
rnacentral:rRNA from 1 species